rnacentral:rRNA from 1 species
AUUGAACGCUGGCGGCAUGCCUUACACAUGCAAGUCGAACGGCAGCACGGGGGCAACCCUGGUGGCGAGUGGCGAACGGGUGAGUAAUGCAUCGGAACGUGCCCAGUAGUCGGGGGAUAACUAGUCGAAAGAUUAGCUAAUACCGCAUACGACCUAUGGGUGAAAGCGGGGAUUCGCAAGAACCUCGCGCUAUCGGAGCGGCCGAUGUC